UCAAGCCUGUAGAAUUGAGGCCCAAGUUCAGCCCUCAAUUUGAAGCCCAAGUGAACAGCUUCUUUGGGCCAGCAAAUCUCAUGAACCCAUCAGUUCAGCAAAGCCCAUUUGGUUCAGUCCAGUUUGAGCAGACCUAAACCCAAGAGCAAGCCCAUUUCAGAGCAAGAACAAAUCUCAAUUGGGCUGAGAUUUGUUGGGCCAAGCUUAAGGCCCGGUCCAAGUCCGCCGACGCUGUCGAAAGUCCGAUUUCGGCUGCCGUCGCGUCGCCGUUGCGGUGAUUCGAUCUCCGCUUUU
rnacentral:lncRNA from 1 species